rnacentral:hammerhead_ribozyme from 1 species
AUGCAGCUGACGAGUCCCAAAUUGGACGAAACGCGCGUUCUGGGU